GACGAAUGCUGGCUGCGUGCUUAACACAUGCAAGUCGAACGGUGAAGGGGAGCUUGCUCCCCGGAUCAGUGGCGAACGGGUGAGUAACACGUGGGCAACCUGCCCCUCACUCUGGGAUAACUCCGGGAAACCGGGGCUAAUACCGGAUACGACCGGGAGCGGCAUCGCUCCUGGUGGAAAGAACUUCGGUGAGGGAUGGGCCCGCGGCCUAUCAGCUAGUUGGUGGGGUAACGGCCCACCAAGGCGACGACGGGUAGCCGGCCUGAGAGGGCGACCGGCCACACUGGGACUGAGACACGGCCCAGACUCCUACGGGAGGCAGCAGUGGGGAAUAUUGCGCAAUGGGCGAAAGCCUGACGCAGCGACGCAGCGUGAGGGACGAAGGCCUUCGGGUCGUAAACCUCUUUCAGCGGGGACGAAGCGAAAGUGACGGUACCCGCAGAAGAAGCACCGGCUAACUACGUGCCAGCAGCCGCGGUAA
rnacentral:rRNA from 1 species